UGUUCUGAGGAAGGUGGGGUUUCUCCUGCAGGAUGUGGGCAGCUCUAAGGGUUGUGCAGAAGGGUGACAAGACCAGAGCUGUAUUUUAAUAGAAUAACUCGGUUCCCUUGAGACUUCAUUUCCGCCUUACUGCUGCCCUAAACACAAUGUAUUUCAUCUCGAGAUGCAUAGGCCACUCCAGUGUAAAUUAGCUUAGAGUCAAUAUGGCGAGGGGUACAGCCUUUUCCCACCGGCCUGGCAAGCCUGACCGGACAUGGGUCCCUAAGCUUCAACAUCAGGAGAGAAAAAAUAAAAUCCUCAACUCCUACUGAUGGUCGGUCACCACAGCUAAGGCACUGCACCAGCACCACCACCACCAUUAUCAUCGUCGUCAUCAUCAUCAUCGCCACCACUACCACCAUUCAUCGUUUACCAAAAUGUGCUCUCCAUUUAAGAAUCUGAAGUGCAGUCAUGCUCAACAGAGAAGCUGAAAAUCCUUCCACCAGGACUAAGGUUCUCUUCAGCAGAAGGCCCCAGUGAAUGUUACCAGAGUCCCAGGCAGAGCCCGCAGGUUGGGGCAGGGAAAUGCUUAAGGAAAGAAACAGGAAGACAGCAGGGCUGAGCCAAGUAGAAGAGAGGAAGAGGGAGAUAUUCCCGGCAUCCAGGAAAGCAUGAGGGGCCAGAAUGCUUGCCACCAGUGGUUGGACAAACACCCACAGCGGGUCAUUGGGUCAGGGCUGUGAUGUGAGGCAGGAGAACAGCAGAGGCCAGACUUCUAUGAGGAAGGCCCUGACCGACUGCCAGCUUAGAAGUUUGAUCCUUACCAUGGAGACAGUGGGGAGCCGUUGAAGGCUGCUGGGCAGAAGGCUGACCCUUGCCUACUGGCAUUAAUGGUAAGAUUACAGAGCAGCCCUUUAUCCAAGGCUUAUUCAAAGCCUCGUGUGGAUUUCAAGUGGUACUUAAGACACAAAGUCCUAACACUCUGGCCCCGUGUCAUGUGGACCAGAAAAAGAACGUUUAAGAGUCUCACAAAGAAGCGCUUCAUGGAGACCUCAAGCGAGGGCUGCUUUAUACAAGGAACCAAGCACGCAUGUGGUUCCGCACGGUCAGCCGCAGCAUCUGGAAGAUUGCAGCACUUUCUUCAGAGUCUGGAAUGUCCUCUUCAGCCAGGGCUGUUCCACCUCCCUCUUUUGGAGGUAAGUGGUUAUGUCAAAACACUGCAUCCUCGGGAGUGCAGGGCCUGAGGCAGCAGAAGGAAUCAGAAAGCUAGAAAUAGAAGUUUCAGCUUGGACGGCAUAAAGGGCCUUCUACACUGAGGCCACCUUCUUCACAAAAGCUGCUUCUCCCAGUAGCAUUUUGAUCCCCCCCC